CAAUUUUGCUUCUAGAGCUGCAAAUAAUGUUUAUUAGAAAUUUAGAACAAAUCAAUAAUUCGAUGGCUAACUCUGGAAACAAGAACAUCAACACCAAAUUGGUCAGUUUGAUCUUCUGGGUUUUCCUUUUUUCCUUUUGUUUUUGUUUAUCUUUGGUGAAUACGACUGUUUUCUUUUCGAGAAUGUUUGAUUCGGUUGUCGUGGUUCUUUUGUUUUCAAUUCCAUCGUCGUGGUUCUAGGGUGUGGAGUAAAGGUUAUAGAUUUAUUGGUUAUUAUUGUAUUUUUAGGGUUCUAACGAGUCAGCUAAAUUAGUAUGAAGAAACACUUUCUGCUAAUUGAAAUUCCCUAACUUUUUUGUAUGAAUGAUUGCGUUUAGAUACUUUUAUAAUGAUUUGCUUAUCUGAUGCAAUAUGAACUAUUUGGAUAUUAAAACACUCUCGUGGAAUGAUUAUGGUAUUUAAUAAGGAUGCUUGUGGAUACUUAAGGUCUUUUUGUUAGAAGUUAUAACCUAUAGCGGAAAACAAGUCUGUUUUGUUCCUUUUUGUUUUUGUUUAAGGGCUUCAGGUAUUACUUGGAGAUGCUGGGGCUGAAAAAUUAAGUCUUGUGCUGUGUUUUGUUAAAGAUCAGUUUGUUGAAUUCCAGUUUUUUUCUCUCAAACAGUGGCUGUAAACGAUGCCACUGUGAAGUUUGAGAUAUGGGAUACAGCUGGUCAGGCAUGAUACCGUAGCAUGGCACCAAUUAAUUAUUGUCUACAGGGGUGUAUCUACUGCAAUUAAUUAAUGUCUUUGAAAUUUACAUUACAAAUCAAGUACGAAACUCACAAUCCCAUGCUUUAGUCCUAAAUGAGUAAAUGGAUUUGCUGGUCAACGGUGGACUUCAAAGUUUUAAGGCUUGGAGAAGAAAUGCUUAGGUUUGCUUAACUCUUGUUUUCUAUUGUCACAAGCCUCAUUUAAGAGGGCGAAGAAAUGGGUCCAGGAACUGCAGGCACAAGAUAUCGAAUGGCUGAACUUGGGUUUCCGAGAAAAAUAUUUGGAGAAGAACAGAAUGUGGUUUAAUUUCAUAAUAACUCAAUUUUAUCUUAUGCUUCUAAUUCGAUUUCAA